UACGUAGGGCGCAAGCGUUAUCCGGAAUUAUUGGGCGUAAAGAGCUCGUAGGCGGUUUGUCGCGUCUGCCGUGAAAGUCCGGGGCUCAACUCCGGAUCUGCGGUGGGUACGGGCAGACUAGAGUGAUGUAGGGGAGACUGGAAUUCCUGGUGUAGCGGUGAAAUGCGCAGAUAUCAGGAGGAACACCGAUGGCGAAGGCAGGUCUGCUGGCAUUAACUGACGUGAGGAGCGGAAA
rnacentral:rRNA from 1 species